rnacentral:rRNA from 1 species
UUUACUGAGAGUUUGAUUCUGGCUCAGGACGAACGCUGGCGGCGUGCCUAACACAUGCAAGUCGAGCGCCCCGAUUUAUCGGGGAGCGGCGGACGGGUGAGUAACACGUAAGCAACCUACCUCUAAGACGGGGACAACCUUGAGAAAUCUGGGCUAAUACCCGAUGUGACUGCAGUUUAGCAUUUUACUGCAAUUAAACGAAACGUAAGAAUCGCUUAGAGAGGGGCUUGCGACCUAUCAGCUUGUUGGCGGGGUAAAAGCCCACCAAGGCUACGACGGGUAGCUGGUCUGAGAGGAUGACCAGUCACACUGGAACUGAGACACGGUCCAGACUCCUACGGGAGGCAGCAGUGAGGAAUUUUCCGCAAUGGGCGAAAGCCUGACGGAGCGACGCCGUGUGUGUGAUGAAGUCCUUCGGGACGUAAAACACUGUCAGAGGGGACGAUAAUGACGGUACCCUCAGAGGAAGGCCCGGCUAACUACGUGCCAGCAGCCGCGGUAAUACGUAGGGGCCAAGCGUUGUCCGGAAUUACUGGGCGUAAAGAGUAUGUAGGCGGCUUUGUAAGUCCGAUGUUAAAUCUCCCGGCUCAACCGGGAACCUGCAUUGGAUACUGCUUAGCUAGAGAGUAGCAGAGGAAAGUGGAACUUCCGGUGUAGCGGUGAAAUGCGUAGAUAUCGGAAGGAACACCAGUGGCGAAGGCGGCUUUCUGGGC